rnacentral:tRNA from 1 species
GUUCCCGUGAUGUAGUUGGUUUAUCAUAUCGUUCUUAUAAUGCGAAGGUCGCGAGUUCGAGCCUCGCCGGGAACA